UCCGAGUUGACCCCGGCAGUCUCCUGCGAGUCCCCGCCAUUACGCGCUGGCAACACAGGACAAGGGUUGCGCUCGUUGCGGGACUUAACCCAACAUCUCACGACACGAGCUGACGACAGCCAUGCACCACCUGUAUACCGACCACAAGGGGGGCCGUAUCUCUACGGCUUUCCGGUAUAUGUCAAACCGGAGGAAGGUGGGGAUGACGUGCCUGUACCAUAGA
rnacentral:misc_RNA from 1 species